rnacentral:tRNA from 1 species
CAUUAGAUGGCUGAAAGCAAGUACUGGUCUCUUAAACCAUCUAAUAGUAAUAUAGCGCUUACUUCUAAUG